UACGUAGGGCGCAAGCGUUGUCCGGAAUUAUUGGGCGUAAAGAGCUCGUAGGCGGCUUGUCACGCGAUUGUGAAAGCCCGAGGCUUAACCUCGGGUCUGCAGUCGAUACGGGCUAGCUAGAGUGUGGUAGGGGAGAUCGGAAUUCCUGGUGUAGCGUGAAAUGCGCAGAUAUCAGGAGGAACACCGGUGGCGAAGGCGGGUCGCUGGGCAGUAACUGACGUGAGGAGCGAAAGCGUGGGGAGCGAACAGGAAUU
rnacentral:rRNA from 1 species